UUGUGACAAUGGUGUAAGGAAGCGCUGACCCAAACAGUGAACAGCGAGCAACGACGACGUAUCCUAGCUCAAACACAGAAAGCGAAACAUUUAAUACGACGACUGGUUGCUCUGUAGUCUGCCAGGGGCCAGGGGGAGUGUCAUGUUGAAGCUGCUCUUCCACAAAGUGCUGGUGUUGACCUGUCUUCACCAUUCACCUCACUGUACCUCCCUUCCAACGUAAGAUAACUCCAGCUGCUCUGUCUCCACCCUCUUCCACCACUAGGCCCGGAGAAAGGUCUUUGGUCCUCGUGGAAAAUGUCCUAUGCGUAUCAGAACCUGUUCAGCUGGAGUCAACCUCGAUUGACACGACCGCGGCAUCUCCUCUUCCUUUUACUGGGCUUCUUGUGCUACUUAGUUCCUCCCACAGGUGUAUCUGCCGAGAUCUGCCGGGUGACCGGGGGG